rnacentral:tRNA from 1 species
GUAUUAUGUAGCUUAACAACAAAGCAUAGUGCUGAAGCCACUAUUAUGCCUGAUGAUAUUGUAUAUAUAU